CUCCUAUUUCUUACAUAUGCGCACACGACGCCCAAACGGCAACACUUGAGACUGUCGCCUGAUCCGAUAAAUACAACCUCCAAAUGCGAGUUGGACAAUCCGAGAGUGGUCGAGUGGUCUACGACGUUGCCUAAUGUUUAGGUCGGCUCGGGUUCGAUUCCUUCUUUCUCCUCCAUUUGCUGUCCUUCAAUAUUUGCAUUUAUGUGUCGAUUUGGAGAAGUGAGGCUCGAACCCGAGACCGCCUGAACCGGAGGCAAAGUUUUACACCAAUCGACUAUCUUAUUUGAUUUUUUUCGCCAAUUUUUGGUCCUAUUUAUUUUUUAUUUACUAGCACGGAACGCAUAAAUAGAACAAACGUCGUGAUGUGAGUCAGCUCGGUUUGUCGAGUGCUCUAACUCGUUGACUUUGGUCCGGAAGGACUCGGGUUCGAAUCACUUUCUAUUAUCCAUUUGGAAAGCUUCAAUAUUUGCAUUUCUUUAAAGAAAUGAAGCAGCAAGUGAGGAGUCGAACCCGGGUCACCUGUACCAAAGGUAAAGUCUUAGACCAUUCGGCCACUCUUGCGUGUCCGGUACAGUAGAUAAGAGCCAAUGUGUACUGUCGUGAAUGUCGGUCAGUGUCGCCCCCCCCAACGCGAGGCGCUCAAGUGCCUUUUUUUUAAGCUCUGUUCACCAUUUUCGGUGGGUUACUGAAGUCGCCUGAUCCGAUAAAUACAACCUCCAAAUUCGAACUCGACAAGCCGAAAGUGGUCGAGUGGUCUAAGACAUUGACUCUGGUUUACUUUGACUCGUGUUCGAUCCCUCUUUCUGCCCUCCACUUGUUCAUUCUUUGAAUUUAUUUGAAUCAGUUAGUGGGGAUCGUACACGGGUCAUCUGAACCGGAGGCAAAGUUUUACACCGCUUGACCAUUUUAUCUGAUUUUUUUGCAAUUUUUUGGUCCUAUUUAUUUUUCACUAAUAUGCUGCGGAAGGAUAAAUACAACACAAACGCUCACGUUACUGAGUUCGGUUGGUCGAAUAGUCUAAGACGUCAACUUUGGUUUGGAACAAACCAGGUUCGAAUCCCUCUUUAUUCCCCAUUUUGAAAGCUUCAAUAUUUGGAUUUGUUUAAUUAAAUGUAUCAGCAAGGGACGAAUCGAACCCGGGUCACCUGUGCCAAAGGUAAAGUCUUACACCAUUCGGCCACCCUGGCAUGUCCGGUGAUGUAGAUCAGAGCCAAUGUGUAGUGUCGUGAAUGUCUCCCAGUGCCGCCCCCCCCAACGCGAGGCGCUCAAGUGCCUUUUUUUUAAGCUCGCUAUAUAUGGCUCUGAUGUUGCCUCAUUGGAAAAGGGUUGCUCAGAACAUCACACAAACACGAGUAGUCAUUGGACUUUUAUUUGCCACAUGAACAGACUUCAGGACUGUAUUAGUAUUUUACUAUUAUUAUUGUUUUUUGUUUUGUUUUUGUUUCUUUUCUUCCUCUGACUGUAAAGGUUUCCGUUCGAUGCGGUAAAGUCAAUGUCGUGAGGAGAACCCGGAACCAACAUUAUGGCCUCCGUUGGCCCGGACGGAUUUUGUUGUCGUACACAAACCAAAUCGGGCUGAAUUCAGCUACACGUUUGGACGCGGAACUUACAAUUUUUGGCAAAAAAGACUCAUAAAAGCAUGGCUGUUUCUCUCACUUGACGCUGGAAUUGAUGUUGGGGAUCGAGGAGGUUUUGAGCGGACACGCAGCCGACAGACGCAAAGUUGUGGGACACGUGGACGGCUCUGCGCUACGAUGACUAGGACAACCUGCUUUUGGACAGCUUACAUGUUGGAUGACAAUGGUCUCCUUGUCGCUGCGUGGUGAAGUCGUCGGCCAGUGGGAAGAGAUUGCAGACCUAAGACAAAAUGUCAACUUGUGCUGCAAAUGUUUUUUGACAUGAGGUGAAACUCACCAGUGACGAAAAGGGUGUGAAAUUUGUUUUCUGGGACCGUCAAGUGCUCGCACAUCUGCAUUGCCAGGACUCUGACCAUGUUCCCCAGCACCUGUGGAAAAACAACAACAAAUGUGGUAGAAGUAAAGACUGGAGUCAAGAGCAAAGAGCUUACCGUUAAAAGCGUCAACUUCAGUGUUGGAUGACAGGUCCACUUCACCAGGCAGUCACUGACGACAGUUUCCUCGUUGCUGUUGAUAGUCACUGGUCAUCGUGAGGAGAGCAUGGACCGGUGUGUCGUGACCCUGUUAAACAAAGACAUCUGUGAAUCAAACCUCUAUACCAAACAUGUUUUUUUGUAGCAAAUUGUUUGCAAUGAAACUUACAGGGAAAGGAUGUGCAACUUGUUUUUUCUGCGACUGAGACCUCGCAGGAAGCUGAAGAUGUUCCUCAGCCUGUGGAAGAACAACAACACGUUUUGGGCAGAGAAAAGUCACGAUUGUGGAGAGCAUUGUGAGCGUACCAAAGUUGGCUCCUCAAAUUCAUCCCCCACUUUGGUUGUCAUCACCUGGAUGUUGUCCUUCAGCUGAGGAAGAGGAGCGCACCAGGAUGAGAGGAAGGCCUGGACCGGAAGCCAGCCUGCAUGCAGAGUCAAAACCAAAAAGCAGGGGAGUGAUCUUCAUAACUUACUUUGAGAGUUGGUUUGCAGCUUAUAUCAUCUCAGCAUGGUGGACAGGAAGUUGAUCAUGAUGCCAUUUCCCCCACCACAACAAAUCAAGUACUUGCAUUCAUCAAGUGUCUCUGCAACAGAUCAAGUCAGACCUUAACGAAGGAGAUUGCUUCAUCAGUCAGUCCAAGGUGCGUGGUGAUGCUGGACUCAGGUUCUCCAAGACGGGUUUUGACCAGUUGAAAUUUACUGUGCAAAACAAAAGUCUUAUUUUAUUAAAAUACCAUUGAAGCUGAAUUAAAUUUAUCAUGAACAUGCAUACUUUGUUCUCAUUGAGGACCCCUCGUGCAUCUUCUUCCUCUCACUGGCUGUCAAGACAUGUGAGGAGUGGUUGCUGCAAGUCAUCUCAGGUGUCCCUUACCCUCCUUCAGAAGAUUACCUUUAACACAGAUGGACAUGCAGGAGGAAAAUGGAAAACUGAGUCCAGAAUUUCUAAAAGACAUCUGUUAAGUUUUGCCAUACAGCACAUUUGACAAGAGAAGAAACCCACCAGCAAUGAAGAGGAUGUGACUUGUUGCUGCCUGGGACUUCGUCCAAGUGCUCACAUUGCUGCAUUCACAGGAAGCUGAGCAUGAAGGAAGGGAAAAACAUUUGAUCAACAUUGUGAGGAUUGUGACCUGUAUUCACAGAGUGGACUGUAAAGUGUGGACACCAGUGCAAACCAUCAAACUUGUCCCCAACUUCUCUGGCUGCUCCAGUUUGGCUUCAGCACCUUCUGAUGUGGUCUUCCAGCUGAGUAAGAAGACAUACAGACAGGUGCAGGAUCUUGGGGGGGCCAGGGUGCUUCUCCUCCACGAUGGCUCUUGUUCUGGAAGCCGUCAAAAAAACAAACAGCGUGUCAAACCCAGCAGACGUGGCGACAGGCGAGCCUCGUACAUCUUGUUCCUCUCGCAUCUCUGCAUGAAGUCAACACUGCACACAAAAAGCAGGAUGUGAGGAGUGGUUGCUGCAAGUCACCCUCCUUCAGAAGAUUGCCUUGAACACAGAUGAGCAUGCAGUAGGAAAAUAGUCAACUGAGGCCAGAAUUUCUAAAACAAAAGACAUCUGUUAAGUUUUGCCAUACAGCACAUUUGACAAGAGAUGAAACCCACCAGCAAUGAAGAGGAUGUGACUUGUUUCUCUCUGGGACUUUGUCCAAGCGCUCACAGGAAGGAAAAACAUUUGAACAACAUUGUGAUGAUUGUUCAGUGUAUUCACAGAGUGGACACCAGUGCAAACAUCUCAAACUUGUCCAACUCCUCAGGCUGCUCCACAGUUUGGCUUCAGCAUCUUCUGAUGUGGUCAUCCAGCUGAAUUAAAAUAAGUUGCACUUGAGCCGACUGACAGUUUCCUCAUUGCUGAUGACCAUCACAAUCAACACGAGCGCGUCGACCAAUGUGUCGUGACCUCCCUGAAGAAGCCAAAAAGACAUCGCAGGUGCAGGAUCUUGGGGGCCAAGGUGGUUCUCUGCCACAAUGGAACUUGUCCUGGAAGCCACCCUGCAUGCAGAGUAAGCAAGCAAGUGACAGGUUUAAACAUUUUCAUGGCAAUCAUUUUGUUUUGCGGCAUGUCAAACCCAGCAGAUUUGGUGACGGUCAGCCUCGUACACGAUCUUGUUACUCACGCAGCGCUGGAUGAAGUCAAAAGGAUGUCCGUCUUUGACGCAGAUCAAGUCAGACCUUGAAGCAGGAAAUCUGCUUCACUCGUCGGUCCAAGCCGGGUUCAGGUUCUCCAGGGCCAAGAUGCUUUUGCACCACCUAGUGGACAUGAGCGAAGAGUAGUGAAGAGUGUUCAAACCCAGCAUCUCAGUCCUCAGGCAGCGGCGCUUCAAGUGGAGGUUGUCAUAACUGCACACAGAAGCAGGAUGUAAGGAAUGUUUGCUGCAAAGGCACAAUCUUUUACCAUCACCAUUGGAGAUGAAUGCAUUUUGGGUGUUGUGACAUGUUCCCACCUUAAUGAUGUCAUCACAGGAAUAAAUCUGUUGGCUUUUGCCACAUGGUAGCUCAUCA